rnacentral:rRNA from 1 species
UACGAAGGGGGCUAGCGUUGCUCGGAAUCACUGGGCGUAAAGCGCACGUAGGCGGAUUUGUCAGUCAGGGGUGAAAUCCCGGGGCUCAACCUCGGAACUGCCUUUGAUACAGCAAGUCUUGAGUUCGAGAGAGGUGGGUGGAAUUCCUAGUGUAGAGGUGAAAUUCGUAGAUAUUAGGAAGAACACCGGUGGCGAAGGCGGCCCACUGGCUCGAUACUGACGCUGAGGUGCGAAAGCGUGGGGAGCAAACAGG